UACAGAGGGUGCGAGCGUUAAUCGGAGUUACUGGGCGUAAAGGGCGCGUAGGCGGUUUUUUAAGUGAGAUGUGAAAUCCCUGGGCUUAACCUAGGAACAGCAUUUUAGACUAAGAGACUGGAGUACAGUAGAGGGUGGUGGAAUUUCCGGUGUAGCGGUGAAAUGCGUAGAGAUCGGAAGGAACAUCAGUGGCGAAGGCGGCCACCUGGACUGUGACUGACGCUGAGGCGCGAGAGCGUGGGGAGCAAACAGG
rnacentral:rRNA from 1 species